rnacentral:rRNA from 1 species
AACGAACGCUGGCGGCAGGCUUAACACAUGCAAGUCGAGCGCCCCGCAAGGGGAGCGGCAGACGGGUGAGUAACGCGUGGGAAUCUACCCAUCCCUACGGAAUAGCUCCGGGAAACUGGAAUUAAUACCGUAUACGCCCUACGGGGGAAAGAUUUAUCGGGGAUGGAUGAGCCCGCGUUGGAUUAGAUAGUUGGUGGGGUAAAGGCCUACCAAGGUGACGAUCCAUAGCUGGGAUGAGAGGAUGAUCAGCCACAUUGGGACCGAGACACGGCCCGAACUCCUACGGGAGGCAGCAGUGGGGAAUAUUGGACAAUGGGGGCAACCCUGAUCCAGCCAUGCCGCGUGAGUGAUGAAGGCCUUAGGGUUGUAAAGCUCUUUCACCGGGGAAGAUAAUGACGGUACCCGGAGAAGAAGCCCCGGCUAACUUCGUGCCAGCCGCCGCCGUAACAC